UGCAAGUCGAGCGGUAGCACAGAGAGCUUGCUCCCGGGUGACGAGCGGCGGACGGGUGAGUAAUGUCUGGGAAACUGCCUGAUGGAGGGGGAUAACUACUGGAAACGGUAGCUAAUACCGCAUAACGUCGCAAGACCAAAGAGGGGGACCUUCGGGCCUCUUGCCAUCAGAUGUGCCCAGAUGGGAUUAGCUGGUAGGUGGGGUAACGGCUCACCUAGGCGACGAUCCCUAGCUGGUCUGAGAGGAUGACCAGCCACACUGGAACUGAGACACGGUCCAGACUCCUACGGGAGGCAGCAGUGGGGAAUAUUGCACAAUGGGCGCAAGCCUGAUGCAGCCAUGCCGCGUGUAUGAAGAAGGCCUUCGGGUUGUAAAGUACUUUCAGCGGGGAGGAAGGCGUUGAGGUUAAUAACCUCAUCGAUUGACGUUACCCGCAGAAGAAGCACCGGCUAACUCCGUGCCAGCAGCCGCGGUAAUACGGAGGGUGCAAGCGUUAAUCGGAAUUACUGGGCGUAAAGCGCACGCAGGCGGUCUGUCAAGUCGGAUGUGAAAUCCCCGGGCUCAACCUGGGAACUGCAUUCGAAACUGGCAGGCUAGAGUCUUGUAGAGGGGGGUAGAAUUCCAGGUGUAGCGGUGAAAUGCGUAGAGAUCUGGAGGAAUACCGGUGGCGAAGGCGGCCCCCUGGACAAAGACUGACGCUCAGGUGCGAAAGCGUGGGGAGCAAACAGGAUUAGAUACCCUGGUAGUCCACGCCGUAAACGAUGUCGAUUUGGAGGUUGUGCCCUUGAGGCGUGGCUUCCGGAGCUAACGCGUUAAGUCGACCGCCUGGGGAGUACGGGCGGCCAGGGUUAAAACUCAAAUGAAUUGACGGGGGCCCGCACAAGCGGUGGAGCAUGUGGUUUAAUUCGAUGCAACGCGAAGAACCUUACCUGGUCUUGACAUCCAGAGAACUUUCCAGAGAUGGAUUGGUGCCUUCGGGAACUGUGAGACAGGUGCUGCAUGGCUGUCGUCAGCUCGUGUUGUGAAAUGUUGGGUUAAGUCCCGCAACGAGCGCAACCCUUAUCCUUUGUUGCCAGCGGUUCGGCCGGGAACUCAAAGGAGACUGCCAGUGAUAAACUGGAGGAAGGUGGGGAUGACGUCAAGUCAUCAUGGCCCUUACGAGCAGGGCUACACACGUGCUACAAUGGCGCAUACAAAGAGAAGCGACCUCGCGAGAGCAAGCGGACCUCAUAAAGUAUGUCGUAGUCCGGAUUGGAGUCUGCAACUCGACUCCAUGAAGUCGGAAUCGCUAGUAAUCGUAGAUCAGAAUGCUACGGUGAAUACGUUCCCGGGCCUUGUACACACCGCCCGUCACACCAUGGGAGUGGGUUGCAAAAGAAGUAGGUAGCUUAACCUUCGGGAGGGCGC
rnacentral:rRNA from 1 species